ACGAACGCUGGCGGCGUGCUUAACACAUGCCAGUCGCACGGAAAGGCCCUGCUUGCCGGGUACUCGAGUGGCGAACGGGUGAGUAACACGUGGGUGAUCUGCCCUGCACUUCGGGAUAAGCUUGGGAAACUGGGUCUAAUACCGGAUAGGAACCAUCUUUAGUGUGGUGGUUGGAAAGUUUUUUCGGUGUAGGAUGAGCUCGCGGCCUAUCAGCUUGUUGGUGGGGUAAUGGCCUACCAAGGCGGCGACGGGUAGCCGGCCUGAGAGGGUGUACGGCCACAUUGGGACUGAGAUACGGCCCAGACUCCUACGGGAGGCAGCAGUGGGGAAUAUUGCACAAUGGGCGCAAGCCUGAUGCAGCGACGCCGCGUGGGGGAUGAAGGCCUUCGGGUUGUAAACUCCUUUCGCUAGGGACGAAGCUUUGUUGUGACGGUACCUAGAGAAGAAGCACCGGCUAACUACGUG
rnacentral:rRNA from 1 species